UACGAAGGGGGCUAGCGUUGUUCGGAAUUACUGGGCGUAAAGCGCACGUAGGCGGAAUGUUAAGUCAGGGGUGAAAUCCCGGGGCUCAACCCCGGAACUGCCUUUGAUACUGGCAUUCUCGAGUCCGGAAGAGGUGAGUGGAAUUCCGAGUGUAGAGGUGAAAUUCGUAGAUAUUAGGAAGAACACCAGUGGCGAAGGCGGCUCACUGGCCCGGUACUGACGCUGAGGCGCGAAAGCGUGGGGAGCAAACAGG
rnacentral:rRNA from 1 species